rnacentral:rRNA from 1 species
GGUAAAAAAGCUCGUAGUUGGAUUUCUGUUGAGGACGACCGGUCCAUACCACGUAUGCGUAUCUGGGUCGGCCUCGGCAUCCUCUCGCUGGACGUUUUUGUGCUUGAUUGCAUGAGGCGGACAACGGGACUUUUACUUUGAGGAAAUUAGAGUGUUUACGGCAGGCUAUCGCCCGAAUACAUUAGCAUGGAAUAAUACUAUAGGAUCUUGAUUCUAUUUUGUUGGUUUCUAGGAUUGAGAUAAUGAUUAAUAGGGACAAUUGGGGGCAUUCGUAUCAACACGUCAGAGGUGGAAUUCUUGGAUUGUGUUGCGACGAACUACUGCGAAAGCAUUUGCCAAGGAUGUUUUCAUUGAUCAAGAACGAAAGUAAGGGGAUCGAAGACGAUUAGAUACCGUCGUAGUCUUUACCAUAAACUAUGCCGACUAGAGAUUGGGCAUCGUUCAUUUACGACUUGCUCAGCACCUUAUGAGAUAUCAAAGUUUUUGGGUUCCGGGGGGAGUAUGGUCGCAAGGCUGAAACUUAAAGGAAUUGACGGAAGGGCACCACCAGGAAUGGAGCCUGCGGCUUAAUUUGACUCAACACGGGGAAACUCACCAGGUCCAGACAUAAUAAGGAUUGACAGAUUGAUAGCUCUUUCUUGAUUUUAUGGGUGGUGGUGCAUGGCCGUUCUUAGUUCGUGGAGUGAUUUGUCUGCUUAAUUGCGUUAACGA